rnacentral:rRNA from 1 species
CUGCUGCCUCCCGUAGGAGUCUGGUCCGUGUCUCAGUACCAGUGUGGGGGGCCUUCCUCUCAGAACCCCUACGCAUCGUCGCCUCGGUGGGCCGUUACCCCGCCGACUAGCUAAUGCGCCGCAUGCCCAUCCGUGGCCGGGAUUGCUCCCUUUGGCGGCCUUGGGAUGCCCCAAGGCCGCGUUACGCGGUAUUAGACGGGGUUUCCCCCGCUUAUCCCCCUGCCACGGGCAGGUUGCAUACGUGUUACUCACCCGUGCGCCGGUCGCCGGCAACGG